rnacentral:rRNA from 1 species
UACGGAGGGGACUAGCGUUGUGCGGAAUUACUGGGCGUAAAGCGCACGUAGGCGGAUUUGUAAGUCAGGGGUGAAAUCCCGGGGCUCAACCUCGGAACUGCCUUUGAUACUGCAAAUCUCGAGUCCGGAAGAGGUGAGUGGAAUUCCUAGUGUAGAGGUGAAAUUCGUAGAUAUUAGGAAGAACACCAGUGGCGAAGGCGGCUCACUGGUCCGGUACUGACGCUGAGGUGCGAAAGCGUGGGGAGCAAACAGG